AACGAACGCUGGCGGCAGGCCUAUCACAUGCAAGUCGAGCGCACCUUCGGGUGAGCGGCGGACGGGUUAGUAACACGUGGGAAUAUACCCAGUUCUAAGGAAUAGCCUCGGGAAACUGAGAGUAAUACCUUAUACGCCCUUCGGGGGAAAGAUUUAUCGGAAUUGGAUUAGCCCGCGUUAGAUUAGGUAGUUGGUGGGGUAAUGGCCUACCAAGCCUACGAUCUAUAGCUGGUUUGAGAGGAUGAUCAGCAACACUGGGACUGAGACACGGCCCAGACUCCUACGGGAGGCAGCAGUGGGGAAUCUUGGACAAUGGGCGAAAGCCUGAUCCAGCCAUGCCGCGUGAGUGACGAAGGCCCUAGGGUUGUAAAGCGCUUUCACCGAUGAAGAUGAUGACGGUAAUCGGAGAAGAAGCACCGGCUAACUUCG
rnacentral:rRNA from 1 species